GUCAGAAUGGCCGAGUGGUCUAAGGCGCCAGACUCAAGGCUAUCCUUGCCUGCAGUUGCGGGUGAUGAGCGUUCUGGUCCUCGUAUGAGGGCGUGGGUUCGAACCCCACUUCUGACA
rnacentral:tRNA from 1 species